CCGGACCCCACUGCUAUCGGGGUGGGACUAAGCCAUGCGAGUCGUACGCUCCCAGGCCACGGUGGGAGCGUGGCGAACGGCUCAGUAACACGUAGCCAACCUACCCUCGGGACGGGGAUAACCCCGGGAAACUGGGGCUAAUCCCCGAUAGACGGGGAGGCCUGGAAUGGUUCCCCGUCGAAAGGGCGCCGUGACCAUGCCUCACGGCGUCGCCCGAGGAUGGGGCUGCGGCCGAUCAGGUUGUUGGUGGGGUAACGGCCCACCAAGCCUCUGACCGGUACGGGCCGUGAGAGCGGGAGCCCGGAGAUGGGCCCUGAGACAAGGGCCCAGGCCCUACGGGGCGCAGCAGGCGCGAAACCUCCGCAAUGCGCGAAAGCGCGACGGGGCCACCCCGAGUGCCACCCGCUGAGGGUGGCUUUUCCCCGGUGUAAGGAGCCGGGGGAAUAAGGGGAGGGCAAGUCGGGUGUCAGCCGCCGCGGUAACACCCGCUCCCCGAGUGGUGGGGACCAUUAUUGGGCCUAAAGCGCCCGUAGCCGGCCUGGUAAGUCCUCCGUUAAAUCCAGCGAUUCAAUCGCUGGGCUGCGGGGGAUACUGCCAGGCUAGGGGGUGGGAGAGGCCGGCGGUAUUCCCGGGGUAGGGGUGAAAUCCUCUGAUCCCGGGAGGACCACCGGUGGCGAAGGCGGCCGGCCAGAACACGCCCGACGGUGAGGGACGAAAGCUGGGGGAGCGAACCGGAUUAGAUACCCGGGUAGUCCCAGCCGUAAACGAUGCAGGCUAGGUGUUGGGGCGGCCUCGAGCCGCCUCAGUGCCGCAGGGAAGCCGUUAAGCCUGCCGCCUGGGGAGUACGGCCGCAAGGCUGAAACUUAAAGGAAUUGGCGGGGGAGCACCACAAGGGGUGAAGCCUGCGGUUUAAUUGGAGUCAACGCCGGGAACCUUACCGGGGGAGACAGCAGGAUGAAGGCCAGGUUAAAGGCCUUGCCAGACGAGCUGAGAGGAGGUGCAUGGCCGUCGUCAGUUCGUGCCGUGAGGUGUCCUCUUAAGUGAGGUAACGAACGAGACCCCCGCCCCUAGUUGCUACCGGAUCCUAGAGGGAUCCGGGCACACUAGGGGGACCGCCGCCGAUAAGGCGGAGGAAGGAGGGGGCGACGGCAGGUCAGUAUGCCCCGAAUCCCCCGGGCCACACGCGGGCUGCAAUGGUAGGGACAGAGGGUUGCGACCCCGAAAGGGGAAGCUAAUCCCUAAACCCUACCUCAGUUGGGAUCGAGGGCUGCAACUCGCCCUCGUGAACGUGGAAUCCCUAGUAACCGCGCGUCACCAUCGCGCGGUGAAUACGUCCCUGCUCCUUGCACACACUGCCCGUCGCGCCACCCAAACGGAGUCUGGGUGAGGUGCAGUCGAAAGUUGGCUGCACCGAACCUAGGCUCCGUGAGGAGGGCGAAGUCGUAACAAGGUAGCC
rnacentral:rRNA from 1 species